UACGUAGGGUGCAAGCGUUAAUCGGAAUUACUGGGCGUAAAGCGUGCGCAGGCGGUUGUGCAAGACAGAUGUGAAGUCCCCGGGCUUAACCUGGGAACUGCAUUUGUGACUGCACAGCUGGAGUGCGGCAGAGGGGGAUGGAAUUCCGCGUGUAGCAGUGAAAUGCGUAGAUAUGCGGAGGAACACCGAUGGCGAAGGCAAUCCCCUGGGCCUGCACUGACGCUCAUGCACGAAAGCGUGGGGAGCAAACAGG
rnacentral:rRNA from 1 species